UUGCGGUUAUAUCACGUUGGAACACCAGUUCCCGUACGAUCACCGAAGUUAAGCAACAUAGAUCCUGGUUAGUACCUAGAUGGCUGACACCUUGUGAAUAUCAGAUGCCGUAAG